ensembl:lncRNA
AUGGAAACAACAGAUGCAAUGCAAAGUCAGCUAAAGGCAGAACAGUCUCAAAAGGGAAAAUACUCCUCUCUUCAGUGGCAGAGGGACUGGAGUAUUGCUUAUUCACUUUUCUCUUGGAUUCAACCAGAAAUGUCCAGUUUUUAUCCACAUUUUCAGGUACAAUUGAAAAUGAAUGUUCACAUGGCUUUUGAAAAUGGAAUCAGUGUUCCGAAUGAAGCCCUGGAAUCCCUCAAAGUCCUUUAUGUUCUCUGCAGCAUUUGUUCAUGUCAGCUGUUUUAUCUAAGGUGGAGAAAGAAAGCUCUUAUUAAAAUCCUGUCUGUUCCUUGGUAAGUUAUUAAGGAAAUUAAAAAUACAUAAUAAUUAGGUCAGAAUCCUAUUUUUUUAUUUCUAUACACAGCUCUGUUUUUUAUGUAUUUUUACCCUAUAGUCAGCUUUCAAUUUAUCUUAUUUUUGGACUGAAAAUGUGUAACUAUCACAAAUUAUAAAAAAGAAGUUGAAAAGUAAACCGCAGUUCCUGGCACCAAGAUGAGUUACAAGUGCUUAAAAAUGUAGAGUAAAGCUGACCCAGGAGACUGGCUUUUGCUACAGCCUUUCUCUGAUUAGACCACCUCUCUGGUAAUUUCUCACUCAUUUUCUGCCGUGUCUUAACCUUUCUUCUUCUGCCCAUAAGCAAACCUGAUUGUUGAAGCGAAUCUUGUCUUUAUGUUCUUGGUCUUGCUUCCACCCCAUAGCCUCUGGAAAAGAGUGGAGUCUGGGAAGGAGACUGGAAGAGAAACUUUAAUAGGAAGAAAAUGAACUGGUUUUACUGUCCAUCAGUGUUACCAUUUUACUGUGCUGGAGAGACAGUGAAGCAAUGCAACAACGAAUCUGUAAAAAUAUGACAUUGUCCUUGUUCUUUCCUCCUUUGAAAGAAAUUUUGUCUUGCAGUCUCCUCUUGGAUAUUCUCUUUCAUCCCAGUGCGUUAAUUUUCAUGACAGAAUUUGCAUUCCCAUUUCCAUCCAGUAGAACAGCAGGACUUGUCAAAGAAUGCACCUGAAGCUGGUUGUAAUGCCACCACCUCCAAUUCCAGCGGUUUCUGUACUUCCUCACAGGUGUUUGUGUUCCACGGGGGUGAGAGCUGAAUUGUGCGCAGAAGGAUUGACUGAGGCUGGAACAGAUACAAAGGCAAAUCUCCUCUUGGCUUCCCGUCUUCCUCUGGCCGAAUGUUGCCACUGUGGAAAAGAGGCUGCUGGAAACAAAUUCUUCUUGUGCAGGCAGUCAUUUGCUUAGUUCAGACAGCAGGCUUCCAGCACUAAGUCUUGAGCAAUCUUCACUGGGAAAGCUAUGUACUUCUGCAGUAAGGCUUUUUUCAGAGGCUUCUGGUCUGAGCCAAUCUGGAGUAGAGAGAAGCAUUUUCUGAAAGACUGUUCUGGGCAGAGGAUCUUCAUUGUUAGUCUUGUAGUAGCGCAUUCUCUGAGAUUUCCAUCAAAUUAGGUUUUGGACAUAGAUACAGAUAAGAUUGUUAUUGGGUUUCUAUGUCUGUAUUUCUUUAUGUCAACUUGGUGUGGAACAAAUCAAAGAGGCAUACUGUAUUCUUGUGCCGCUUUCCUACUAAUUAAUUAAUCCUUCCCUUUUUCUACAUGAAUGGGUGAAAUAAAUGUCAUGCUCAUGUAAGGUGAUCA